UACGUAGGUGGCAAGCGUUGUCCGGAAUUAUUGGGCGUAAAGCGCGCGCAGGCGGUUCUUUAAGUCUGAUGUGAAAGCCCACGGCUCAACCGUGGAAGGUCAUUGGAAACUGAGGGACUUGAGUACAGAAGAGGAAAGCGGAAUUCCACGUGUAGCGGUGAAAUGCGUAGAGAUGUGGAGGAACACCAGUGGCGAAGGCGGCUUUCUGGUCUGUAACUGACGCUGAGGCGCGAAAGCGUGGGGAGCAAACAGG
rnacentral:rRNA from 1 species